UCGAGGGUAAUUUUAUCUUUUUCAUCCAAGAAUCCACGUGUCGCUUCCAUAUUUUUCUUGAUUAUUUUUGGCUCCACAUAUGCCUCUGAUAGGAGCAUAUUUAUGCGACUUAGUUAGCUUGCUUCUUGGCAUUUAUGUUGUUAGUUCGUAGUAAUUUUAGUAUUUUAAGCUAUUUUCGUGUGUUUGUAGGUCCAAAGGGUUAAUGUGGCAAAGAAGUGCAUUUUGGAGCAUUUUGGAGCAUUUUUGGGCAUGGAAUGGAUAGCAUAUGCUUCGAGCAAAAGGAAUGGACGAAAUUUGAAGUUUGUGCAUCAUCCUCUCCCUAUAAAUAACCAUUUUAGCACACUCAUUUCACCCAACACAUUCACCUACCACUACAUACACUCAUUUCACCCAACACAUCCACUCAUUACAAUCACCCAACACAUUCACCUACCACUACAUCCACUCAUUUCAACCACUCAACACAUUCACCUACCACUACAUCCACUCAUUACCACCACCCACUACAUCCUCUCCCUAGCCUAUAAAUACAUUCAUCCACCCUUCAUCACGGGGGAGAUAUCAAUCCAAAACACACACACACAUCAUCUACACAAUUCUCCACUCUUUGCCGCAUUCAAUACAACCUUCAUCCAAACAUAUCCAUUCAUUUUCACAUCCAUUCCUCCAUACAAACAAACCUUUAAACACUCACCAACACCUUGUGCCGUAGCAAAGGAAGGGAAGGAAAGUGCUUGGACGUGCUUGCUGUCCAACUUGGAUCGUUGGAGCGUUUAAGUGUUUUUUUUUUCUUUUGUUUCUAAUGUUUAAAUUCAUUUCCUUUCGUUUUGUUGUAAAUAUGAGUGGCUAAACCCCUCUUGGCUAGGGGUGAUUCCAAAGCCAUGAUUAUGUGUGUAAUAUGAUUUGAUAAAUUCCAGUUAUGAGAAUCGUAAAUGCAAUUGGCUUAACUAUUUGAUUGAUAACUUAUUUGUAUUUGUUAAUUAAAGGUCGACACUUAAUUGGCAUGCAUAAAUCCGUUGCUAGAAUAUAAGGAAGUUUCACAUAAUCGUUACAAACUUAUAUUCACAUGUAGUGAAGGUCACUUAUAAACGAUCGCAUUAAGUUUAAUUCUAGCAUGAGUAACAUGAUGUCAUAGUUGCAAGUGCUUUGUCAAUGCUUAUGAUUUUCAUUACACGUAAUGAUCUCUGAUUGUAUCUCCAUUAUGAUGUCAUGUAGGGAACUUUAGAAGAAUGUUUUGGGUUGUCGAAUGAUGUCAUCCAAUCCAAUAAAACAAGGAAAAUCUGAGAGUUAACUAGUGAUGUCACGGUUAAUUUGGAGCAUUGUCGUUCAUAAUUCAAUGAAGUAGUAAUCGGAAAUCGAGUUAUUUGCAUACAUGUCAUGUGUGGAGAAAAAGCCUCUAGCUAUCCCAUCCAUCAUCUUAUUUCUCAAAUUUAUUUUACAAUCUGUCUAAUUUUUCAUACUUGUUUGUUUGUUUCAACUUCAUCCAAAUCAAAACCCCCCUUUUAGUUUCUUGUUUCAAAGUGUUUCAAAUCUAUUUUAGUUUGUGUUUUUAAGUGUUUUGAUUCAAGUAAAAGUCAAUUUUCGUCCAAAGUCAUUCCUAGUGUCUAGUUUAAGUUUAUUUAAUUGUUUUAUGCUGUUUUGAUUAUUUUAAGUUUGCUUUGAGUCUUGUGAGUCUUGUUAAGUGUUUUUAAGUUUAGUUUUAUGUUUUUGAGUCAGUUUAGAGGUUAUUAGCAAGCCCUCCUAAUCCCCGGUCUAGAACGAUCCCUACUUAUACUUAUACUACAAUUGUCAAAAGAGGGUUAAAUUUGUGUGUUAAGUUAAUUUUCGCAUCAAGUUUUUAGCGCCGUUGCCGGGGAUUAGCAACUUUGUUAAUCCCUUGUUAUUUCUUUUUGUUUAUUUUCAUGUGUUUUUGUUCCUAGUUGCUGAUUUUACUUGUUUUCUUGUUUUAGGUGGUUUAUGACUCGAAGUUCUCAACCUGUUCAUAAGCACAUCUUUGACUUUAACGACGAUUUUGAACGAACUUUGGGACGAGCAAGGAAUGAACAAGAUCCCCAACCAUCUCAACCUGCACCAGAUCUUGAAGAAGACAAAGUAGAAGAGCAAGAGAAGGCCACGACAAGGACUUUUAAAGAAGUCCAAGAUAUGGCAGUAGACAAUCGAACAAUCAAGGAGCUUUCCGUUUUGGGAUUGCACAAUGCUCUGCCUUUAUGCAUUCAAUAUCCAAGGGCGGCCCAAAACAAGACCGAUGAGUUCGAAUUAAAGUUCAGUUUAUUGCAUCAUAUUCCUAAGUUCCAUGGGUUGUCCAUGGAAGAUCCUAAUAAACAUUUGAUGGAGUUCGAGAUUGUUUGUUCGAGUAUGACCCCUGUGAAUGUUGAUGGGAGCAUUCUGAAAAUGAAGGCUUUUCCCUUUUCUCUCUUAGAAAAGGCUAAAGAUUGGUUGUAUGAGCUAGCCCCCAGAACUGUCACAUCAUAGGAGAGUAUGAAACGGGCAUUUUUGGAGAAGUUUUUCCCAACUUCUUGAGUCAUUCUGCUAUGCAAAAGGAUUAGUGGCAUUCAACAAAACCAAGGUGAAUCAUUUCCCACGUACUAUGAGCGUUUUAAAACCCUUGUUACUUCAUGUCCACAGCACCAGAUGAAGGAGGAGCUUCUUCUUCAAUAUUUCUACGAAGGGCUUCUACCAAUUGAACACUAAAUAUUAGACGCCUCAGCGGGAGGAGCCUUGGUGGACAAAACACCCAUGGUUGCCAAGACCUUAAUUGCUAAUCGAGCAUUGAAUGCUCAAUAAUAUGAAGGCGUUGGUCAAAGAGACAACCCAUAACAGCAACAAGUUAAUGAGGCAAGUGCUAUUUCUGAACUUCAAAAUCAAAUGGCUAAUCUUACUACUCUUCUUUCACAGGUGGUUGAAAAACCAAAAGAACAAAGUGUAGCUGCUUGUGGCGUGUGCUCAAUGAAUGGACAUCUCACGGAUAAGUGCCCUCAAUUGAUCGAGAACGGAGGGUGGGAAUUUGCCAACGCCGUGGGUUUUGAGAGUCAAAACCAACCAAGGAAUGAUCCGUUCUCAAAUACAUACAAUCCAAGUUAAAGAGAUCAUCCAAAUUUCAAAUGGAGGAAGCCCCAACAAACCCAACAACAAAGUGCAUUCAGACAACAACCUCCGGGAUUCUAUCAAAGGCCGUAUGCACCCGCACAACCCCAAACACAACCUACCCAAAAUAACUCAGGUUCAUCUUUUCAUAAUGCUCAAGUUAUUCAGUUACUAACUACAUUGGCGAAGGGUCAGGAAAAUAAAGCAAAAGAUAUGCACAAUUACGACAAUGAAGUGCAAAAUCAAGCUCGAGAGGUGACUGAAUUAAAGAGACAGAUGGGACAAAUGGCUGAGUUCAUGGGGUAAUUUAGUAGAGAGCCAGGUAAGUUACCUAGUUUGACGGAUGUGAAUCCAAAGGGAGGCUUCGAAUCUGCGAAAGCCAUCACCUUGCGAAGUGGACAAAAAGUUGGAUCUGAUCCCAGCCCAUCUAAAUCCAAUCAAAAGGAGGACGAAAAGAUGCAAUAUGAGGAGAAAGAGUAAGGCCUGCCUUCGGCAAGGAUUGAACAAUCUUUGCCGCAGCCACCUACACACCCUAAUUCGACCACCAAAGGUAAGUUGGGUUCAAAUUCCAUGACUUCUAAUUCCAUUCCAACCAAUGCACCCUUUCCUCGCAGGUUUAUGCAAUCAAAGAAGGAUGAGAGUGACAAAGACAUCUUUGACACAUUUAGAAAGGUGCAAUUCAACAUUCCACUUCUAGAUGCAAUUAAACAAGUCCCCAAGUAUGCUAAGUUCCUGAAGGAGCUGUGCACUACAAGGAAGAGGGCUUCAAACAAAGAGGUGGUAAGGGUAAGUGAGAAUGUCUCAGCUGUGUUGCAAUGAAAACUACCUCCUAAGUGCAAAGAUCCAGGCAGUUUUACAAUUCCUUGUAUUAUAGGAAAUACUCGCUUUGAAUAUGCCAUGUUAGAUCUAGGUGCAUCAAUAAAUGUCAUGCCUUAUUCAAUUAUGCAUCUAUGAACUUGGGAGAAUUAAAAAAUGAUGAAGUGAUCAUUCAACUGGCCGAUAGAUCUAAUGCGUAUCCAAAAGGUGUUUUGGAGGAUGUUUUAGUGCAGGUGAAUCACCUAGUCUUUUCGGUGGACUUUUACGUGCUUGAAAUGGAAGACUCGAAACGAAGGGUUAACACUUAGGCAUGCACACGGCAACAACAAGGAACAUCUUGCCGUGCCUAUUUAAGAAGAAUUGGUGGAGAUGGUUGCUGCCCUAGAGUCAAAUCCAAGGCAUAUUGGUAAGUCUCCUAACCUAAUUUCAAUUCCCAUUUCGACUAACAAGUUGCUUCCUUCUGUAAUCCAGCCCCCUUCCCUAUAGCUUAAACCAUUGCCUAGCCAUUUGAAAUAUGUGUUUUGGGGAGAGCAAGAGACGCUGCCUGUCAUCAUCUCUUCUUCACUCACUGCACAAGAGGAGGACAAGUUGGUGAGGGUGCUUCAGGAAUACAGAACUGCCAUUAGGUGGACAUUGGCCGAUAUCAAGGGAAUUAGCCCUACCACUUGCAUGCAUCGAAUACUCUUGGAAGAAAGAGCCAAACCAUCUAGAGAAGCACAACACCGGCUCGCUCAAUCCACCCAUGAUGGACGUUGUGAAGAAGGAAAUCAUCAAGCUACUAGAUUGUGGAGUGAUUUACCCAAUUUCUGAUAGCCAUUGAGUUUCGUCGGUCCAAGUUGUUCCUAAGAAGUCCGGAGUCACUGUGGUAAAAAAUAAAGAUAAUGAGCUUGUGCCCACCCGAAUCCAAACCGGAUAGAGAGUUUGUAUUGACUAUCGGAAGCUCAACGCUACGACAAGAAAAGAUCACUUCCUGCUGCCCUUUAUUGAUCAAAUGCUAGAAAGGUUAGCUGGUCAUUCAUUUUAUUGUUUUCUUGAUGGCUAUUCGGGUUAUAAUCAGAUUGUGAUAGCUCCCGAUGACCAAGAAAAGACUACCUUCACAUGUCCUUUUGGUACCUUUGCUUAUCGACGAAUGCUAUUUGGGCUAUGCAACACACCAGCCACAUUCCAAAGGUGUAUGGUAAGUAUUUUCUCAGAAUUUGUGGAAAAGAUCAUUGAAGUGUUUAUGGAUGACUUUAGUGUCUUUGGUGACUCAUUUGAUGCAUGCUUGAAUAAUCUUACUCUGAUCUUACAACAAUGCAUUGAAACUAAUCUUGUCUUGAAUUGGGAAAAGUGCCAUUUUAUGGUAAAACAAGGUAUAGUUUUGGGGCAUAUCAUAUCAGAAAAAAAGAUUGAGGUUGAUAAAUCUAAAAUAGAUCUUGUACGUCACUUACCCUCUCCCACUUCGGUGAGGGAGGUUUGUUUUUUUCUCGGCCAUGCAGAAUUGUAUAGGAGAUUCAUCAAAGAUUUCUUAAAAAUUGCCCAACCCCUUUGCCGCUUACUCCAAAAGGAAAUAGCCUUUGAGUUCAACAAGGAAUGUGAGACCGCUUUCAAAACCCUCAAGGACAUGUGGACUUCGGCCCCUAUCAUCAUGACACCAGAUUGGAGUCUUCCAUUUGAGCUAAUGUGUGAUGCAUCCGAUUAUGCCAUUAGUGCUGUUUUAGGCCAAAGGAGGAACAAACAGCCCCACGUCAUCCACUACGCUUCCCGGACACUAAAUGAUGCUUAAUUGAAUUAUUCUAUCACUGAGAAAGAACUUCUUACAGUUGUAUUUGCUUUAGAUAAAUUUCGUUCAUACUUGGCACUAAAGUGAUUGUAUAUUUUGACCAUGCAGUGUUGAAGUACCUCCUCACCAAGAAGGAGGCCAAACCAAGGCUGAUUUGUUGGAUGCUCCUACUUCAAGAGUUUAACAUUGAAAUAAGAGACAAAAAGGGGAGUGAAAACGUGGUGGCUAACCACCUCAACCGUUUGGUGCAUGAGGAGGACUCCUUACCCAUUCUAGAGACCUUCCCUGACGAGCAAUUGCUGUCCCUAGAGGUAAGUGAGCCCUGGUAUGCUGAUUUGGUCUAUUAUUUGGUCACAAAACAAGUUCCUAGCACUCUAGAUAAAUACAAGCGUGAUAAACUCAGAAAUGAUGCACGAUUUUAUGUGUGGGAUGAUCCAUAUUUGUGGAAGUAUUGUCCUGAUCAGAUUAUUCGUAGAUGUGUGCACAAUUCUGAGUUUAAUUCAAUUCUUGCAUUUUGCCAUAGUUAUGCAUGUGGGGGUCAUUUUAGCACCCAAAGGACAACCCUUAAGGUUUUAGAGAGUGGUUUCUAUUGGCCUACAUUGUUUAAGGAUGCUAGAACAUUUUGUAUAACUUGUGAUAGAUGCCAAAGAACAGGUACAAUCGGUGCCAAAGACCAAAUGCCGCAAACCCCCAUCUUUAAUGUGGAGAUCUUUGAUGUAUGGGGUAUGGAUUUCAUGGGACCCUUUCCGCCCUCAUAUGUUUUCACUUAUAUUUUGCUAGCCGUUGAUUAUGUGUCGAAAUGGGUGGAAGCUAAAGCCACCCAUACUGACGAUUCUAGAAUGGUGGCAGAUUUUAUCAAGGCUAACAUCUUUUCCAGAUUUGGCAUGCCAAGGGUGUUCAUAAGCGAUGGAGGCUUCCAUUUUUUCAAUCGCACCAUUGAGGCGCUGUUUAAAAAGUACAAUGUGAAGCAUCGGGUUUCCAUGCCAUACCAUCCUCAAACAAGUGGCCAAGUCGAAGUCUCGAAUAGAGAAAUCAAGCAAAUCUUGGAGAAGACUGUUGGGCCAAACCAAAAGGAUUGAAGUUUGCGUUUAGAUGAUGCACUAUGGGCAUAUCGCACUGCCUACAAAACACCUCUAGGGAUGUCUCCAUUUCGACUAAUCUACGGCAAGCUGUGUCACCUACCUGUGGAAUUGGAGCACAAAGCGCACUGGGUUGUGAAAACAUUCAAUUUGGACUUAAAUGCUGCUGGAAUGAAUAGAAAGCUCCAACUGAAUGAACUUGAGGAGAUACGGAAUGAGGCCUAUGAUAAUGCACGAAUUUACAAGGAGAAAACAAAGGCGUUUCAUGACAAAAUGAUUCGGGGAAAAACAAUCUCAUUUGGAUAGAAAGUGCUACUAUUCAAUUCUCAUCUACCAUUGUUCCCUGGUAAGUUACGGUCUAAGUAGAUUGGGCCAUUUGUUGUCACUAAUGUUUUUCCCCAUGGUGUAGUCCAAGUUAAAAGCUUAAGGAACGGCGACGAAUUCAAAGUGAACGGGCAUCGCCUGAAGCUAAACUAUGAGAAUGAUGUGGGGCAGAUUGUGGAAGAAAUCCCACUCAGUGCCGUGGGCCCUAUCCAAGCUUAGAAGGAAGUUUCGUCCAGCUGCAAGACGUUAAAGCAAGCGCUUCUUGGGAGGCAACCCAUGUUUUGCGUUCCUAAAAUUCUUCCCUUUUCUGCAAUUUUAUUUUGCCAUGAUUGUCAUUUUUAUUUGUUGCUUGUUUAAUUGUUUUUGGUGUGGGUUUAUUUUUGAAACAUUGACAUAUAUGCAAGGUAUUUUACAUUAAUAUUCGUUGAAAAUGAAUAGGAGGCAGAAAAAUACAAGAGGGAGCUUUCACAAAGGCUGCUUAGGAGAUGUCUCAGUAGUCGGCGGAGCCUCAGCAAUCGGUGGAGCCACAGAAGGAGGAGGUAUCAGUGGUUGAUCAUUUGGAGCUUAACUACGCGGUACAGCCCCAUAAGACGAAGGCAAAUGCUGUUGGAACAAACCCACAAACCUCUGAUGAUCAAGUAAAAUCUGACCAUCAGAUUCUUGCAUCUGGUCAAUCUUCUUCUUCAUGUUUGUAGCAUAGUUAUGUGUAAGCUUGUGCAACUAUUUAUUCUCAUGCUUGAGCCCUCUAAUCUUCUGUUUGAGACUCAUUACUUUAGCCGCCAAUGAUUCAACUUGACGGGUUCGAGCAAAUAGACGUUGGGCCAUAUUAGACAAGGUUCCGGGCUCAUCAGACCGUUUGGAAAGUAGUUUGUUAUCUUUGGGAGUGACAAGGUUCCGGGCCACCACCGCAGCGGUCAUAUCAUUCUUCAUCACCGAAUCCCCAACGGUAAGAGGACCAGUAGAGGAUAUGAAGGAUGGGUGCCAUAUAUUGUCUGGAGAAAGCAUUGAUGCCUCUUCACCAAAGUUCAAGUCAAAACGACAGUCGGAGGGGCAAGAUAUUUUCAAAGGUGUUGAAGAAAGAAAAGGUCGGACAAAUCGAGAUCUUAGAAGUGCAAUGAAGGGAGUUUAUACGGGCAAAAAUUCAAGUGUGCUUAUAAACGAACUGCUAAUCCUCUAUAAAAAUCAGCACUCGACGGGAUUUCAGAGAUCGAAGAGGCGAGCUCAGAAAUCGAAGAGGCCAAUUUAAAAAUCGAAGAGGCGCUAGCUUUUUUAAAAGCUGGGCUUGCUCAGAAACCACGGGCCAUCCUCUAUUCCAGAUUUGUCCGCACUUGUCACAUGCAACCUUUGCACUCGACGGACCUCAGAAAUCGAAGGGGCAAGCUCAUUAAAUUGGAAAGGCAUUUGCUUUUCCAGGAGUGUCAGCAUCUGUCACAUAUACACUCAGCUUGCGAAAAUCACGGGCAAUUUGUCGAAGUGCCGAUUUCAGAUAUCGAAGAGGCAUUUACUUUUCCAGACGUGUCAGCAUCUGUCACAUGCACACUCAGCCUUGCGGAAAUUACGGGCAAUCUGUCGAAGAUUUCUGGUGACGUAGAAAGCACGUGAAGAUUACUAUUCAAUCAUCCAACGGUUGCCGACAAGAGUGAAAGAAUAAUACCAGUUAUUAAUUCAUAUAAAUGUCGAUCUUCACCCUUUAUUGCAAGGCAGACAUACAUAACCCUUCUUCAUCUCCGAUAAUGCCUUCCCAACAAAGCCUCUCGAGUCCCUCAGUGUUCCUUAUUCCCUGGGAUACCUCUGCAAACAACCCAUCAAAAGAAAAAGUAUUUCAUAUCAUGAAGGUUGAAAACAAGAGUAUCUCAUAUCAUGCUUUCUCCCUGUCCUUCUUCUUGUCGUUGUUUUUCACCUGCGGGACAAGGAGAAAGAGAGCAAUCAGCCAGCACUUGGUAUCAAUCUUCCGAUCUGGAACCGACUGCCUGGAACCCCUUCCUGAUUGCUUACCUAGCCUUGCUCUCGAGUACUCAUUUUCAACAUCUUAUACUUCCUCAAGCUACCACAUUUGCCUGGGGAACAGAUAAGGGAAGUAAAAAUGAUACCUCGAAGCAUGUGGAGACAAUGUGCUAAUCCAUCCUCAGCUAGGGACAAGGAGAAAGAAAGAAAAUGGUCGGCACUUGGAAAGAUUGAAGAAAGAAAUAGACCAUCACCUCUACCUCGUGCCUGCCUGCCGUGCAGAAGAAACAAGCAGAGAAGAAUGCAGACUGCACAACCAAGGAACUCUUAUAUCCCUUGCUCAGAAUUCCAAACCAGUUCGAGAUCAAAGUUGUGGAAAGUCAACAAGAUCAUCUAUCUCCAAAACCAGAUUUGCAUUCUUAAACUCUACUCUGUUUGGUUUUUACUUUGCUAUAUGAUAAGCUCAUAUUUAUAUAUAUUUUACAUAAAAUUCACUUGUCUUUUCUUAGUUAGUUCCUUAUAUUUUUGAGCUAUUUACUAUGUUUUUGUGUUUUGUGUGAUUUAUCAAGCAAAGAAAAGAAAAGUAGCACAAGUGAGAUAUUAAGUAACAAAUUCGUCAAAACUGCCUGUGCAGAUUAGCGGAUUUUGGAAGCAUGUUACGAACAACUCAUAAUGAAUGAGAGAAUGAGCUUUAUAUGCUUGGAAAGCUACGGAUGUCAAUUUUCUGGAGCAAUUUACAGAUUGUUAAUACCCCUUUUCUAGAAGAAGUUAUGGGCAUUGUAACACUGAAAGGUUCAGAAAAGGGCUAAGCAGAUUUGGCUAAUAAAAUGAGAAAGUAAAGGCACUUGUUUUUUGUUUUGCUUUUUCAUCAACACUCAGCAACAAAUGGGGUUAUGAUUGCACUCAUUUGGAUUUGGAGCAAGUGGAAAUGCACAGCUAGAAAGAGAAGACAUCAAACAGCUCACACACAUGCAAGGAUGACAUUCACACACAUGCAAACUGCAUGGACAGGUUGGAGGACAGAAAAUGUGUUUGUUUUUUGGUUGAAAUGAUGAGGAACAUGUGUGUGCAAAUGGGCAAAGGAAACACACACACAUGGGCAAAGGAAAGGCACGACAUGGGCAUAAAAUACAUCAAUACAUUCACUCAUUACCACAACACUCACCCUUGUCCCUUUCAUUAUUUCUGUUUUCAUGCACCAUUACAUUUAAUCAUUGCACUCAAGUGGUGCACAUCCCUUGUCCCUUUCACCCAUCAGAUUUCAUUCACUUUCACCUCCACUACAUGCACUCAUUGAUGCACCACUCCUUCACUUUCCUUGCCCAUGCCGUGCAUCAUGAAUCCACCUGCACCUAUGACUAAUUUCUGCACCAUUCCACCUCCCUUUCCUUUAUCUACCAUGUGCACAAUCAUUCGUGUUCCCCACUUGCAUUCAUAGCUGCAACACCACUCCAUUUCACCCCCCAUGCUUUGCAUCAUUACUUCACUUUCACAUUUGAAUCAUUGCUCACACCACCAUCCAUCCCUUCAUGCCAUGCACUUCCUCUAUAAAAGGAAGUGUGUGUGGCAGCCAUUACAUUCAGUUUUUCUUGAGAAUUCAUCCCUAAUUCAAUACAACUUUCAUCCAAACACAUCCAUUCAUCUACACAUCCAUUCCUCUAUACAACCAAACCUUCAAACACUCACCAACACCUUGUGCCAUAGCAAAGGAAAGGAAGGAAAGUGCUUGGACGUGCAUGCUGUCCAACUUGGAUCGUUGGAGCAUUUUGGUGUUUUCUUUCUUUUGUUUUCAAUGUCUAAAUUUGUUUAUCUUUGCUUUGUAAGUAUGAGGAACUAACCCCCCCCCUUAGCUAGGGGGAAAUUCGAAACUAUGUUCAUACUUGCAAUAUGAUUUGAUUACCUUCAGUUGUGAUUUCAUAAGUUGUGAAUUCAAUUUGUUUAACGGCUUGAUUGAUAACUUAUUCGUGUAUGUUUAUUAAGAGUGCACACUUAGUUUGCAUGCAUGAAUAUGAUGCUAGAGUAUAAAGGAGUUUCACCUAAUAGUUACAAAUUUAUAUUCACAAGUAGUGGAGGUCGCUUAUAAACGAUAGCGUUAAAUGAAUUCUUGGCAGAAGUUUCAUGCUCAUCAUAGUAACGAAUGCCUCGUCAAUACUUAUAGUUUUCAUGAUGCUUAAUGAUCUUUGAUUGUAUCUUUAUUGUGUUGCUCACAUAAAGGACUUUUGAAGAAUGCUUGAAUUGUUGUAUACGCUUUCCCAUCCAAUUCAAUAACUUAAGGAGAACUUGAAGUUAUUUAAGCGGACUUAAUUAACCUGGGGUGUUGAGUUUCAUGAUUGAUCGAAAGAACAACUGAAAAAUUGGUUUAUGUGCAAGUAUGUCAUGUGUGGAGAAGAACCCUCUAGCUAGACCAUCAUCCAUAGUUUAACCCAUCACCCAUCAAUUCACCUAAAUUUGUCUAAGAAUCUGUUUAAAUUGUUCUUGCUUUGUUUUCCAUAUUUUCGCCCAAAACCAAAAUCCCCUUUAUUUUAUUAAGUCGUAUUAGUUAGUACUUGUUUUAGAUUGUGUUUUUAAGUGUUUUAAGUCAAGAUAAAAUCAAUUUUCGUCCAAACUUUGUGUUAGUGGCAGAAACUGCCUUAGAGUUGUUUUUAGACAGUUUUGAGUCUCUAUAAUCUGUUUUGAGUCUUGUGACUUUGUUUUGAGUCCUGUAAGUUUAAUUUCAUACUUUUAAGUUUGUUUUCACAUAUUUAAGUCAGUUUCAAGUGUUUUAGCAAUCCCUCAUAAUCCCCAGCCUAGAACGAUCCCUACUUACAUUCUUUACUACAAUUGACAACAAGAGGGUUUAAUUUGUGUGUUAAGUUAAUUUUCGCAUCACUAUACUUGUUAUGUUUAUUCGUUGUUUGCUUGUUUGCUUGUUUUUGUGUGAGUUUAUGCUUGAAACAUUGAGGACAAUGUUUGAUUUAAGUGUGGGGGGGGGGUAACCAAGUUGUUUUGUAUAAAAUUCGUAGGAGUUUAUCACCCAUUACUUCUAGUGUUGUUCCUUGCUGUUUUUAAGUGUUUUUAAGUUGUUUUGGAGUGUUUUAGUGUGUUUUGACAUAAAAAUCCGAAAAUCUCAUAAAAAUUUGAAAAAUUGUUUUGAAAAACCCAAAAAAAAAAGAAGUUGUUUUGUGUGUUUAUUUGUGUCUUAGGGUACCUUCCAACACAAUGAUGAGGAUUUGGUUUUUAAUUACAUGACUGUUAAAGAGAGUUAUAAACAUGGAUGAAAAUUUGAUUUACUCUUUGGUGUAUGCUUGGUUGUGGUUAUAAUUUAUGAAUUCACAUGCAAACAUAAAGGAAAAAUCAGUUUUUGUAACAUGCUUGAAGGAAAGAACUCAAAUGAACGCUACAACCUUGUGAGACUUGAGCCUAAACGUUUAUUUGGAGAGUUAAUAAUCUGUGCAUCAUUGUUUUCUAAAGUCAUUGCAUGAUCUCAUUAUUCUUUGCUUGGUUGCUACUUAGAAGGCGUUUCAUCAUUUAGUUCCAAAUGCUAGAACUCAUGCCUAUUUCAUUCAAAGCAUGCUAUUGAUUUGCAUAACACAUAUUCAAGAUGAAGUUGUGUAGUGACCACCAAAGCUAAAUUGCCAUGCCCCUAUUCAUUAUGUGUUUAAGUUUAACCCCGUUGAGCCUUGUUAAGCCUAUGUUCUUUGUUAACCCACACUAUCCUUACCUAGCCUAGUUUUAGGACCAUCCAUACCCUUAUUCUUAAAGCAUAGUAAAGCAUGACUUAAAAUGAACUCAUUUUUUAUCAAUGUAUUGCAGAGAGCAAGUGUGGGGGAAGUGAUUCUUGUGUGUGUGUGUGUGCCAAAGUCCUUAAUAAGGCACGGGUAGAAAAGAAAAAAAAAGAAUUGAAAAGAGUAUGAAAAAGAGCUCUAAAGUGUUGUUCGUUAAGGAAAGGGUCCAAAAUAUUGAAUUCGGCCCUAAGUGUUGCAUGAAUCUUCCAUUUGUAUUUAAAAGUUGAUUCUGCAUUCUAAAGUGAUUUCCAAGUGUCUAUUUCAUUACUUUGCUUGCUAUCGCUUUAAGAACGUUUGUUAUCCCUAUCUUUUCUUUGUUAGCCAUUACCCCUAAGCCCUGUUACAACCCUUGACUUCAAUCUUGAGUGUUGUGUGUUUCAAUUUGUGGAGUUCGAAAUUGGUAUGAGCAUAUGGUGUCACUGGUUCUCGCAUCUAAGUAGUAGCAUUCCAUUCAUGAGAUCAUAUCUAAACAUGCUUAAUAACUCCAGAAAAUUGCUUUCUUUGUUAUAACAUAUGUGAGUCCUAGUCUUUAGUUUUUACAUCAAUCUUCUCACAUAUAACUAGUGUAGGGUGUGUAGUCAGAAAAUGUGUGGAAAUAGAGAGUAUCUUGUAAGGAAUUGAGCAAAUUCUCUAAGGCAUGUUACUACAUUCAAAACAUCGUUUUAAUUGGUUAAUUGUGCACUAGUAAGUGGUGACUGUGAUUAAGUAUGUGCUCAAGUGUGAAGAUGACCAAAAUCUGUGGGAAUGAUAAUUUUUAACAUGUCAUGUUUCAUAAAAAAUCCCUGAGGCAAUUGUUGGAAGGUCUAGGUUGUGUUGUGUUUUGUUUUGUUUUUUUUGUUUUGCUCGAGGACUAGCAGAAGCUAAGUGUGGGGGAAUUUCAUAGGAGCAUAUUUAUGUGACUUAGUUAGCUUGUUUCUUGGCAUUUAUGUUGUUAGUUCGUAGUUAUUUUAGAAUUUUAAGCUAUUUUCGUGUGUUUGUAGUUCCAAAGGGUUAAUGUGGCAAAGAAGUGCAUUUUGGAGCAUUUUGGAGCAUUUUUGGGCAUGGAAUGGAUAGCAUAUGCUUGGAGCAAAAGGAAUGAACGAAAUUUGAAGUUUGUGCAUCAUCCUCUCCCUAUAAAUAACCAUUUUAGCACACUCAUUUUACCCAACACAUUCACCUACCACUACAUACACUCAUUUCACCCAACACAUUCACCUACCACUACAUCCACUCAUUUCACCCAACACAUCCACUCAUUACAACCACCGAACACAUUCACCUACCACUACAUCCAUUCAUUUCAACCACCCAACACAUUCACCUACCAUUACAUUCACUCAUUACCACCACCCACUACAUCCUCUCCCUAGCCUAUAAAUACAUUCAUCCACCCUUCAUCAUGGGGGAGAUAUCACACACACACAUAUCAUCUACACAAUUCUCCACUCUUUGCCGCAUUCAAUACAACCUUUAUCCAAACACAUCCAUUCAUUUUCACAUCCAUUCCACCAUACAAACAAACCUUCAAACACUCACCAACACCUUGUGCCGUAGCAAAGGAAGGGAAGGAAAGUGCUUGGACGUGCUUGCUGUCCAACUUGGAUCGUUAGAGCGUUUAGGUGUUUUCUUUCUUUUGUUUCUAAUGUUUAAAUUCAUUUCCUUUUGUUUUGUUGUAAAUAUGAGUGGCUAAACCCCUCUUGGCUAGGGGUGAUUUCAAAACCAUGAUUAUGUGUGUAAUAUGAUUUGAUAAAUUCCAAUUAUGAACUCUUGAAUCGUAAAUGCAAUUGGCUUAACUAUUUGAUUGAUAACUUAUUUGUAUUUGUUAAUUAAGGGUCGACACUUAAUUGGCAUGCAUAAAUCCGUUGCUAGAAUAUAAGGAAGUUUCACAUAAUCGUUACAAAUUUAUAUUCACACGUAGUGAAGGUCGCUUAUAAACGAUCGCGUUAAGUUUAAUUCUAGCAUGAGUAACAUGAUGUCAUAGUUACAAGUGCUUUGUCAAUGCUUAUGAUUUUCAUUAAACAUAAUGAUCUUUGAUUGUAUCUCCAUUAUGAUGUCAUGUAGGGAACUUUAGAAGAAUGUUUUGGGUUGUCGAAUAAUGUCAUCCAAUCCAAUAAAACAAGGAAAAUCUGAGAGUUAACUAGUGAUGUCACGGUUAAUUUGGAGCAUUGUCGUUCAUAAUUCAAUGAAGUAGUAACUGGAAAUUGAGUUAUUUGUAUACAUGUCAUGUGUGGAGAAAAAGCCUCUAGCUAUCCCAUCCAUCAUCUUAUUUCUCAAAUUUAUUUUACAAUCUGUCUAAUUUUUCAUACUUGUUUGUUUGUUUCAACUUCAUCCAAAUCAAAACCUCCCUUUUAGUUUCUUGUUUCAAAGUGUUUCAAAUCUGUUUUAGUUUGUGUUUUUAAGUGUUUUGAUUCAAGUAAAAGUCAAUUUUUGUCCAAAGUUAUUCUCAGUGUCUAGUUUAAGUUUAUUUAAUUGUUUUAAGCUGUUUUGAUUAUUUUAAGUUUGCUUUGAGUCUUGUGAGUCCUGUUAAGUGUUUUUAAGUUUGGUUUUAUGUUUUUGAGUCAGUUUAGAGGUUAUUAGCAUGCCCUCCAAUCCCCGGUCUAGAACGAUCCCUACUUAUACUUAUACUACAAUUGUCAAAAGAGGGUUAAAUUUGUGUGUUAAGUUAAUUUUUGCAUCAGCCUCCACACCUAUUGGGUUGCUUGCAGGAAAGGGCUGCAUGUGUAGAGAUCAUCUUGUUUUAGGAAACAUAUGAUUAUUUCCUAUUUUGAUGUAAAUUCUAUCUUUACUUUGAAAUUAGAUAAGGGAAAUAAAUUACUUCUAAAGUUUAUUUAAGUCUACCUUAAGUAGAUUGUUAAAUCAACUUUAGAAAGUAAUUUAUCUUUCCCUACAAGAAAGAGAAAGCUAUAGGAUAUUUGUUCACCCUCCUCUAGCAAUCUUAUACACUUGCCCCUGCAAAGGACCGUCUUUCAUUGAUUUAUUUGUCUUCUCCAUGCUACACCGAGGUAAGAAAAAUUUAAUUUUCCUUGUUUUCUUCUUGGAUAGUGCUAUCGUGGG
rnacentral:lncRNA from 1 species